rnacentral:rRNA from 1 species
CCUACGGGAGGCUGCAGUGAGGAAUAUUGGUCAAUGGACGAGAGUCUGAACCAGCCAAGUAGCGUGAAGGAUGACUGCCCUAUGGGUUGUAAACUUCUUUUAUAUGGGAAUAAAAUGUUCCAUGUGUGGGUUUUUGUAUGUACCAUAUUAAUAAGGAUCGGCUAACUCCGUGCCAGCAGCCGCGGUAAUACGGAGGAUCCGAGCGUUAUCCGGAUUUAUUGGGUUCAAAGGGAGCGUAGGUGGAUUGUUAAGUCAGUUGUGAAAGUUUGCGGCUCAACCGUAAGAUUGCAGUUGAAACUGGCAGUCUUGAGUACAGUAGAGGUAGGCGGAAUUCGUGGUGUAGCGGUGAAAUGCUUAGAUAUCACGAAGAACUCCGAUUGCGAAGGCAGCUCACUGGACUGCAACUGACACUGAGGCUCGAAAGUGUGGGUAUCAAACAGGAUUAGAUACCCGAGUAGUC